UUAAGAAGGUAAAGUUSGUACCAGGGUUUCGUUAGUGACCUGGCGGAGGGAUCAUUA
rnacentral:rRNA from 1 species